UUCUAUAAGCAAAUUUUAUAUCAAUAAAUAAACUCUCGUGAGUUAAAUUUAACAUCAUUAGGAUAUUAUACCUUUUGCAUAAUGGGUUCACUAUAAGAAUCUUUGAUAGGUUAUCACGAAUUAGUUAGAGCUAAUUAUAUAUGAAUAUUAGUAACUAAAAUUGGUUUAUAGCAAAAUGCCAGUAAGAGAUAUAAUUAGGAGUGAAAGGCUUGUCAAUAAUUAAGAUAUCUUGAAGGCCUUAAAAUGUAUUUAGUACAUAGACAAAUACAAAGUGUUUAGGCUCUGUAUACUCUUAACACCAAAAUUAUUUAAUGGAAGAGACUGAAAUGUCUUUAAUUUUUGUAUAUUAGCAUACAUCUUAUUAUAUGUAAGGUUCUUAAAGGCCUCUAUUUUAAUUCUAAAUAGUAGUAACAAUGUUAACAUUAGUAUUUAUUUAAGGCGAUUUUAAGGAACUCGGCAAUAUUACUCUCAACUGUUUAUCAAAAACAUAGCUGUAUGCUUGUAUAUACAGUUUUUUCUGCUCAAUGAAUAUAAAUAGCCGCAGUACCCUGACUGUGCAAAGGUAGCAUAAUCAGUUGGCUUAUAAUUGAAGUCUAGUAUGAACGAAAGGAUGGGAGUAAGCUAUCUAAGAAUUGUAUCAAUAAAUUACUUAAUAAGUGAAAAUUCUUAUAUAAAUAUAAUAGACGAGAAGACCCUAGAAAUUUUAAGUAAUAUUUAGCUAUUGGUUUUUGUUGGGGCGACACAGUAGCACUAUAAACCUACUAAGAAGGAUAUGAUUAUCUUAAUAUGUAUAAUUAAAUUACUCUAGGGAUAACAGCAUAAUAUUGUAAAGUUUGUGACCUCGAUGUUGGACUAGGAAAGUAUAACUCAGAAGGUUAUUAUGUAGGCUCUGUUCGAGCUAUUAACUCCUACAUGAUCUGAGUUCAGACCGGCGUGAGCCAGGUCAGUUUCUAUCUUUAAAUAGCUUAGAGCGAGUACGAAAGGAAGCCUUUAUCUUCAAUAUG
rnacentral:rRNA from 1 species